rnacentral:rRNA from 1 species
AUUUGACGUUAGCGACAGAAGAAGCACCGGCUAACUCCGUGCCAGCACGCCGACGGUAAGUACGGGAGGGUGCGAGUACGUUAAGUACGGUAAUUACGUGGGACGUAAAGCGCAUGCGAGGUUGGUUUAGUUAAGUCAGAUGUAGAAACGGCCCCGGGGCUACCAACCCGUACGGAAUAGCUAUUUAGAAACGUGGCAGACUAGAGUACUGUAGGAGGGGGUAGAAUUUCAGGUGUAGCGGUGAAAUGCGUAGAGAUCUGAAGGAAUACCGGUGGCGAAGGCCGGCCCCCUGGACAGAUACUGACACUCAGAUGCGAAAGCGUGGGGAGCAAACAGGAUUAGAUACCCUGGUAG